UCCGGUUUGACACCGUAUCUCUACGGCUUUUCACUACAUGUCAAACCCAGGUAAGGUUCUUCGCGUUGCCUCGAAUUAAGCAACAUGCUCCGCCGCUUGUGCGGGCCCCCGUCAAUUCCUUUGAGUUUUAGCCUUGCGGCCGUACUCCCCAGGCGGGGCACUUAAUGCGUUAGCUGCGGCACGGAGUCCGUUGAUAGAACCCCACACCUAGUGCCCAUCGUUUACGGCGUGGACUAC
rnacentral:misc_RNA from 1 species